GACGAACGCUGGCGGCGUGCCUAAUACAUGCAAGUAGAACGCACAGUUUAUACCGUAGCUUGCUACACCAUAGACUGUGAGUUGCGAACGGGUGAGUAACGCGUAGGUAACCUGCCUGGUAGCGGGGGAUAACUAUUGGAAACGAUAGCUAAUACCGCAUAAUAUUAAUUAUUGCAUGAUAAUUAAUUGAAAGGUGCAAUUGCACCACUACCAGAUGGACCUGCGUUGUAUUAGCUAGUAGGUGAGGUAACGGCUCACCUAGGCGACGAUACAUAGCCGACCUGAGAGGGUGAUCGGCCACACUGGGACUGAGACACGGCCCAGACUCCUACGGGAGGCAGCAGUAGGGAAUCUUCGGCAAAGGACGAAAGUCUGACCGAGCAACGCCGCGUGAGUGAAGAAGGUUUUCGGAUCGUAAAGCUCUGUUGUAAGAGAAGAACGGGUGUGAGAGUGGAAAGUUCACACUGUGACGGUAUCUUACCAGAAAGGGACGGCUAACUACGU
rnacentral:rRNA from 1 species